CUAAUAUUUAUGUUGUGGAAUGGGGCUUAGAGUCAAGCAGACAUGGGUUCAAAUCUCAGUUCUAUCACUUAUUAGCUUUGUGAUCUUGGGACAUGAUUAAACUUCUCUGAGCUUCUGUUUUCUCAUAUAUGAAAUAGGUUUAGCAGGAAAAUUUUAUGAGAGGAAAGAGGAAGCACUACCACCCUCUCUUUUGGGGACCCCACAAAUCUCUGGAAAGGGUCAGGCCAGACAGAAGAGCUUGUGUGGGCAGCUGGCUGAGUAAUAUACCAGCCUUUCUGGAUAAUUCAGUCAAAAAAGGAAGAAGUGAGAGUGUUUAAAAAUACCUGAAUUGGCUGCUAUGCUUGAGUUCUUGAUGCUCAAACAGGAGUGCACAUCAGAGGAAACCCGAGGAGCUUUGUAGAUAAGAAUGUUAAAGACUUUCAGACCUCCUAUUCAGAAGCCACCAAAGGUAGGACCCUGAAUGUCUUUCUUUUUUUUUUUUUUUUUUUUUUUGGUGAGGAAGAUUGGCCCCAAGCUAACAUCUGUGCCAAUCUUCCUCUGUUUUGUAUGUGGGAUGCCUCCACAACAUGGCUUGAUGAGUAGUAUAUAGGUCCAUGACCAGGAUCCCAAACUGCAAACCUCGCACUGCCAAAGCACAGUGCACGAACUUAACCACUAUGCCCCAGGGCCAGCCCUUGAAUGUGUCUUUUUAAAUUUCAGGUGCCUCUGGCCCUUCACUCUGGCUAAGAACCACAGACCUACUAAAUACUCUGUUACUGAUUUAUUUGGUACAUAUGUUACAGUUUGCGUCUUGAUUUAAAAUUUGAGAGAAAUUUGCACGCAUGGAAUCUUUCUAAGUUUCUGGUUUGAAAGUCAACUUUUGAUUACAUUCACGUGUGUACAUCCCCUUACAUUCGUAUUGCACGCUACAUUUUACAAAGUGCCUUCAUUUCACCCUCACCACCACCUUGUGAGAUAGGCCACGGCCAGUGUGCAUGGAUGUGCAAGUUGGUUCACAGCACAUGAGCCCCUUGAUUGGGGGGACAUGUGGGGCCUCAAACCUGGUCCCUACAGCAAGAGCUGAACUGUGAGCCUGCACCAAGCUGGGUUUACCCAGAGGAGACAUCUUCUAAUCCUCACAAAGGUGUGCCAGGGGCUAGUGGCAACUCUGAAGUAGGCAAACUAGGGAUUAUUAGCCCCAUUUAAGAUGUGAAGAGCUUGAGAAGAUCAAUAGCUUUUCCAAGCUUUCCCAGGUGGUGAGUGGCUAGCUCAGAUGACGUCAUGUGGCUUAAGCCAGUGCUUUUCUGCCAUACUGGAAAUUAUUCCUGCACGUUCUUU
rnacentral:lncRNA from 1 species